AGCAGUUUCCCAAAGGAAAAGCCAGUACCUUCUUAGCAAAUCCAGAUUGUUCAUGACAUAUUCCCUUUGACGGGGAACCAUUCCGCGGCUUCCCUGCCCAUCGUUCCUCGCGGCCGCCCUCUCGACGCCGCUAGGCCCGAGACUGUGACCUAGACAGAUGCUGCGUUUCGGUUGGGCGACGGGAGAAUGCCCUAUAUAUACAAGUCCGUCCUCUUCUCUAUUCCAGAUUUUUAUUUCAUGCCUCGGUCUCAGCUCUUGUCUCCACCAAACGUCUUUUACGGUUAGCUGAUAGGCUCGGAGAGGAUUUUAAGUCGAAUGAUGAUCUUAUAAGUCGAAUGAUGAUCUUAUAGGUGUGCGGUCAGUUUUCCAGUUAGAGCACUGAAUGUGAAUCAACAAAAUGUGCUGAGUGGAUUUUGUUAAAGGUUAUGCUCUAUGCUGUGUGGUUGGAUGCUAGUGCAAGUAAAGAUGCAGUUACCCCAAUUCCGUAGCUCCUGAUGUGUUCUCAGAGUUUUGUUGCUGUGGCUGGCAAAGCUGGAGAUUGACAGGUACAUGUGGGUCCUCAUUAAUACUUAAACCGUUAGUAAGGAUGGCAUUCCUGCUUAUUCCAUUCUUGCCCCUUGAUCCAUAAACCUGAAGUGCAAAGGAAACAUCUUUGCUGAGGGUCACAGGGGGGAGUGUCACCUUACUUCUUCAUCCUGGUAUAGGAGAGUGGAAGAAGGAAUUUGAUUUUCUAGAAGGAUAAUUUAGGCUUUCAUGUUUUGCUUAUUGUGAUACCUUCUUAUAUAAUUCCAGGUUUUCCUCACGAAUUAGGUUUACCUUGUCAUACAGUUCCAGGUUUUCUUGAUGUAUGAGACUUCCCUGCAAGGAAGAAAAUAAAUUAGAAAUUAAUGACUUUUCCUUUUUAGUAAAAUGUGGACAAGCAGUAGCUGCAGAUUUGCUUGGUUGACCUUUUGGUUUAGUUCAUGUAUCUCAUCAAGUAAAAUUUGGUCCUACAAAAUGCAGUUAUGUCAGUGCUUAUAAUGUUUACUAUAUGAUACUCUUUUUGUGAGAAAUUGGAGCUUCUGACCUUUCUUGUACGGACACCACGAAGACUCAUUUCCAGCUGGUUCUCCAAGCUUUGUAAAUCUUUCACACUCAGACCAGUAAGUUCUUCACCCAUCAUUUGCCUAUAAUCACCAUUGUUGUUUACAACUUAGGUCUCUAUUUGUGUCAUUUAGAAAUCAUGAAAAGAAUUUACUGAUGCUCUGAGUUCAGUGUAAGCACCGAGGUUAUUGGUGCCUAUUACUGCAAGCACUCUGUUACAUAUCGAAUAUUGUCUAAAGCAUGGAAAGGAUUAGCAAUGAAUAUAAGCAGAGAUUGCUUCGAAAAAUAAGGGGCAGAAGUGACUUGCAUCUCUCUUCUCUCCUCUGUAGCUCAAAGAAAAUAUGAAAUAAUAUGCAGAAAAAGAGUUUCUUAUAUUGACUGAUUAAUAUUCUUCUCAACAAUAUUCUCACAUUCACUUUCGACAGCACUCAUACAGCUGUCUAAAUGUGCCAAACUAGUUUUUUAUUAGCUACCUUUUGCUUUAACCAUGAAGUCAGAAGCUAGAGUGUCAUUCCAAAGUAGCAUGCCUUCAGAUAGAUAGGAAUCAUGGAAUGUAAGCAAAAGAAAGGUUUACCGAUGAUUUUCCUGCAAGUUUUGCAGUUGUUGCCUUAGCAUGGCUGCUUCUCUUUGCCAGAACUGUAAAUCAUGAAAAACAUAUGUAUUGAUCUAAAAUAUCUUUCAUUUCCAUGUAAAGUGGAUAAUGUCAUUUGCAGUGUGAAAGAGGAAAUCAUAUAAAACUACAAAAGUGUUCAAUCAAAAGUAGAAUAGAACUCAGGGUUAUCUCAUAAUUCAUGCAUCUGCAUAUAUGUUUCAGGUUAAAGUCAAAUAAUAUGUUUGCAUUUGCUAACUUUUUUCUUUAACCUUGACAAGAUGGUCUGGGUAAGGUCACACUUCUGGCAGAGCUUCAUGGCUAUUUUACUUCACACUUGCAUUGAACAAAUCAGCAUAUAUUAAUCAGGUUUGCAUUUGCUUUGAAGAUCAGAGCUCUCUCACCAUUGUUUUUAUAUAAUGUAUUAUUGAAUUUUUCAUGUCUGAUUUCAAGUAUUUCAUAGCCAUGACUUGAGGUUGAUGCUCAAAUAUGACAGUGGAAAUUGGUUGAAACCUAUUUGUCCUCUGUUACUCCAAAUCUCUAUAUGUUUUUAAAAGAAAUAUUUUAAGAACUCAAUUACUCAAAAUCCUGCAAUUGUUCCAGUAGUCAGAGGUUAGUCCUAAGUAAUUCAAAUUGUUUACACUUCUGAGAGCUAGGAAAACUUUACUAAUUCUAGGAAGCUUUCUGGUCUUUGUCCAUGUUGAUUUAUAACUAAACUUGAAAUUGUUGUAAUAUAUACCUAUAGGGUUUUGGGUGAGUGCAAAUGGGGAGACUUUGAAAUUAUUAUUGAUGUUGAAGGAAAGUUUAGGUAUAAUUCUAGACGACAGCAGGUUGGAAAACAAAUUAGCAAAGUUAUAGGAAAGUGAAAACAUCAGGUUUGAAAGGAAAGGUCUUUCCAGGAAUUAGAAUCCAUCUCCUUGAUCCCUGAAAAUUACUUCUCUGCUCAGCCAUAUGUUCUGUAUGGCCCUGAACACAACCUGGGGAGAAACCUUGAAUAUACAUGUGAGGAGUGAUUUCUGGAUAUAGGGGAGGCUAAUGAUACAAAUGCUGUUUCAGUUUAGAAGCAAUUUUGGUCUCAUAUUACUUCUGAACAUUGCAGAUGUUCAAUGUUUCUUCUAUGCCGCCUCUUGUAAUCGUGAUCUGUUAAAGAACGAACAAUUUUUUCAAAAGGAAAUUUUAAGUUCUACUGCAUCUUGCUGAUUUCAUAGUGACCUCCCGAUAUUUUCUUUCCUUCUGCACUGUCAUAAGGAUUAGUUAAUAAACAUCUGCUUAAUGAUUAGGUGACAAUGCAGAAAGGUUAGAAGAACUAGAUAUCUUGUGAGUUAUUCUUCCCUUGUGUCUUUCAGCCCAUCAUGUUUAACUCCCUGCAUCUCAAAGUAAGGAUUAUGACUCUGGGUCCUUUAACUUAAAUUUAUAUGCCGGAUACAAAUUUUCCUUUUCAAGCAUUCAUUUUCUGAUAAAUCCUUCAGAGCUGAACCAGCUGCCCUCAAUGCAGCUCCAGCACGGUAAUCAGGAGGGUCUUAUUGCAUGCCAUCAUGGGAUAUUCAGAAACUAUAAAAGAGAGGGUUAGCUUAUAUUUGAGGUACCUAAAAUUUGUCAGUGUUCUAGUUGUAGCAAUUAGAAUCAUUGGACUUGAUAGUUUGUGUGCAUCUCAUAUUCAUUAGCGGGCAUCUUAGUUUAGCUACUAGCUAGUAGCAUAAAGUUCAUAAUAUCCCUCUUGCUUUCAGUGGUUUUGUAUCCAAAUAUUGUCCAGGUUGUAUACUAGUAGUGUUGUUGCUAGGCGUCUAUGUAGUCACUUGCAUAUAUUUUCAUUUUGCAAUGAGCAGAAUAUGCUUUAGAGGAUAUGGACAGGAAUAAAAUGAGGAGAAGAUUACAAAACCUCUUAAGGAGAACUACAGUGUGCUAUAUCCAAUCUAUACACUAUAGCAUGGCUUUAAAUUAUGCCAAGCAACUCUCAAUAGAAAGGUAACCUCCUGGCCUUGUACCCAGGGGGAAGGCACUAAGGAAUUAAGUGCUGGACACUGAACCUUUGCUAUACAAGUUGAUGCUUGUCUACCAGUGUGCCCUCCUCCCUAGUCCUGGCCCUAAAGCUUCUCCUUUGGACAUCCUGGUAUACAGAAAUGGGCUUCUAGAGAGUCUUUUAAAGGAUUUUACAUCUAACUAAUUGCUUGAUGGCGAUAUACCAAAUGACCAGUGUUCUUUAACAUAAUCAUAAAGCAGGCUUUCUUGUAUAUUAUUACUAUGCUAAAACUAUUGAGUUUUUAUUUCCACUUAAUUGGUCUUUGUUGUGGGAUUUGAGGAUUUAACAUAAUGUGAAUUUCAUUUGCAACACAGUCCUUGAGUUUACUAGUAGGGCAUUUGAGUAUCUUGUACUGUGAAUUUUGAUCUCUUUCUGUCUGCCCUAUUUGAAGGCAUUCUUUCAACAGUGACCUGUUUAGGUUCCAGGCCCAAACCAGAAGUUCAGGUUCAGAAAAAGAGGAAUUGGAACCAAAUCUUUUAUAGGGGAGGUUCCAGUUCAUAAACUGGCCAGUUGAGGUCCGGUUUGUGAACCUUCUUUUACUUUUGUUCUUCUUUGAAGAUUUUCUUUAAUGGCUAUAACCAGAACUGGAACCAUAUAAGUCCUGAUUCCAUACCAAGACCAAACAUUAAGGUUCAGUUUUGGUUCACACAGUAACAGUUCAGGCUGAACCAGAACAUCCGGAUGUUUUGUUAACGUUUAAUUUCCUAUGCUUUAUUACCUUUAAAUUAUCCAUCUGAAGAAUGUUUUCUGAAAACUGAGUCAUUUUUCAAAAAAUAUUUUUAUUUUCAGUGGUUGGUUGAUUCAAGAAAUAUGUCUUGGUGUGUUUGGUUCAUGGUGGUAGUGAGGUGGUAUUGUGGUGAUGGUGUUGGUGGUGUGGUGUUGGUGUGAAAAUUGGAAAAUGAGGUUAUUUUCGCUUGACCAAAGAGUCAUUUUUCUUUUGACUUACAUUUUCAACCAUUUACCAAACACUAAAAACCCGGAAAAUGAUUUUCAGAAAUCAUUUUUCGGAUUUUCAAACACACCCUAAAUACCAGCUUAAGUUUUGUGCCAAAUCUAUAACUGAGUAGUUUAUAAGAGAACAGUAGAAAUAUGACUGAAAAAUCAAAUCAAUCCAAAAGCUAUAUGGAUCACUGGAUCAAAAGUCUAUUGUUCUACAUAUAUGAUUGUCUUUCCCAAUUACAGAGUACUUUAAAAAAUAUACAGUACUUUCUCUAUUAUGGGUGAAUUUUUUUAAUUUUUUAUUUUUUAUUUUUUAUUUUUUCCAUUUAGUUGUUGAAAAAGGUACUCUUUGUUUCCACGUUUAGAAUCUGAAAGACUCACAGAUAAUCAUCAAGCUGGAUAAUUGGAAAGCAGUUACUUAAAAUUACCUUGACCUCAGAAGUUUGAUUUGCCAAUUGGUAAUCCUCCUCCUUUACUUUCUUGUACCGAUCAAUCACUGACCUCAUGCUGUGAAAAUUUUUAGUACAAUUGUGAAAUUUUUUUAGUACAAUAUCAUUGGGAUUUAUCAUCUAAUAUUUACUGAUUCUUAAUAAGAAAAGAUCUAACAGUUAUGGCAUUUUAUAUUUUGCUACUAUAUUUGUUUACUCUUGCCAAUGUUUUAGACUAUUCUGUUCUCUUGUCAGAGGAAGAAAUACAUGACCUUAGUCUCCAAUGUUAUAAGUUUUGAGGCAUUGAAGAUUGUACUUUUGGUUAGACCACUAUGACAAUUGACAAACCUUGGUGAUCUUUUUUCUGUGCCACAUAUUGGUUUAACCUUUUACCAAGUUAUUAUUAUUAUUUAUUUGUGUUCUAUAAUGUUACUGAGUCUGGUUAAAUAAUGGUCAGGACGUGUAAAACUCAAUGGAGGAUUUAAUCUUGUUCAACUUUUAUAGCAGUACAUAAUACAAUUAGUUUAUACGA